rnacentral:tRNA from 1 species
GCAUCAGUAGUCCAACGGUUAGGAUAAUUGCCUUCCAAGCAAUAGACCCGCCGGCUGAUGCA